rnacentral:rRNA from 1 species
GAUGAACGCUAGCGGCAGGCUUAAUACAUGCAAGUCGAGGGGCAGCAUAAUUGUAGCAAUACAGUUGAUGGCGACCGGCAAACGGGUGCGGAACACGUACAGAACCUUCCUUCGAGCGGGGAAUAGCCCAGAGAAAUUUGGAUUAAUACCCCAUAGUAUUACGGAGUGGCAUCACUUUGUAAUUAAAGAUUUAUCACUUGAAGAUGGCUGUGCGGCUGAUUAGGUAGUUGGCGGGGUAACGGCCCACCAAGCCUGCGAUCAGUAACUGGUGUGAGGACACGACAAGUCACACGGGCACUGAGACACGUGCCCGACUCCUACGGGAGGCAGCAGUAAGGAAUAUUGGUCAAUGGACGAAAGUCUGAACCAGCCAUGCCGAGUGAAGGAUGAAGGUCCUCUGGAUUGUAAACUUCUUUUAUAUGGGACGAAAAAAGGCUUUUCUAAGUCGUCUGACGGUACCAUAUGAAUAAGCACCGGCUAACUCCGUGCCAGCCGCCGCGGUAACAC